AUGGAAGCAGCAAUCCAUCUUGCCACAUAUGUACCUAUGCAACAAUCCUGCAUGAUCUGCACAUGUACCCCAGAACCUAAAGUACAAUUAAAAAAAUUAAAAAAGAAUGGAGGUUAUGUUAGUAGACAUGAAAAGAAUUUUAAUCUUGUACAUCUCCAUCAGGAUUCUUGGUGACUAGGUGUAUUGUCACUGUGCAUUAAUAUUUUAAAAGGAAUAUAUAUUUUUUGAGCAGAUUUCAACAGUGAGCCUAAUAUAUUUAGUAAACCACAUUGUAACCAAAUGUGCUAUCAUUAACAUUUUAAGUCAUUUAUAGAGCACAGGCAGAGUAGGUUUAGCAUAUUUUUUAAGGGUGUUUGGAUUUUCAGAAUGGUCAGUGAACAUUGGCUUCAACUUGAAGUUACCAGCUGCAUUACCCACUAUCAAAAGACUCAGCCUGUCCAUCUGAUUUUUGAGGCUAGGCAUUGACUUCUCUCUUGCUAUGAAAGUCCUAGAUGGCAUCUUCUUUUAAUAUAAGGCUGUUUUUAUUGACACUGAAAACUUGUUUAGUAUAGCCAAUUUCAUCAAUAAUAUUAACUAGAUCUUCUGGAUAACUUUCUACAGCUUCUACAUCAGCACUUGCUGCAUAGCCUUGCAUUUUUAUAUAAUAGAAACAGUUUCUAUUUUAAACAUCAUGAACCAACCUCUUGUAGCUUCAAACUUUUCUAUUUCAGCUUUCUCACUCUUACCAGCCUUCAUAGAAUUGAAGAGAGUUAGGGCCUUCCUCUGGAUUAGGAAUGGUCAAUGAGCAUUCAUUGCAGUUCUAUCCAGACCACUCAUAUUUUCUUACUAUCAGCAAUAAAGCUGUUGUACUUUCUUAUCAUUCAUGUGUUCACUGCAGUGGAACUUUUAGUUAGUUUCCUUCAAGAAUUUUUCUUUGCAUUAGUAACUUGGCUAACUGGUGAAAGAGGCCUAUCUUGGCUUUCAACAUGUCUUUUAAACUAAGCUUAAUCAUUUCUAGCUCUUGAUUUAAAGUGAGAGAUGUGUGACUCUUCCUGUAACUUGAAUAGUUAGAGGGCAUUGUAGGGUCAUUAACUGGCCUCCUGUCAAUAUUGUUGUCUUGGGAAAUUAGGGAAGUCUAAAGAGAGGGAGAGAGGUGGGGAAAUGACCAGUUGCUGGAGCAGUCAGAACACACACAACAUUUAUCAAUUAAGCUUGUCAUCUUGUAUUGGGCAGUUUGUGGUGCCCUAAAACAAUUAUAAUAGUAAUGUCAAAUAACACAGAUCACAAAUCAUUGUAUCAGAUAUAAUAACCAAAUAUUUGAAAUAUUGAAAGAAUAACCAAAAUGUGACAUAGAGACCUGAAGUGAGUACAUGCUGCUAGAAAAAUGUCACUGAUAGAUUUGCUCAACUCAGGGUGUCCAUAGACCUUCAAUUUAUUAAAUAUUUAGUAUCUGUGAAAUGUAAUAAAUUGAGUAUUCCUAUAUCAAGAUAGGCAUAUAAGAAAGCAACAAGGCCUACUUAUCACUUGUACCAAAUUGGAUAGUCCCAAUUCAGCUUUAUCUGAUGCUCACAUGUAGUAUCCUGAGCAUUAGUAUAAGUAAAAAUAAAAUAAUAGGUUGCUUUUUACUUAGUUUCUAUUUUUUAGAUAGAAAGUUUCCUUUGAAAAUCUGGUCUCACAGUCUGUCAUAAUAAAAUCCUACAUGGAAGCCAAUAUCAAUUAAUUGAAAUUAGCAUUGAGGCAAAAUCUAUUUUCCACACUUGAUCUGUGGCCAUUCUGCCUGGAAGCAUAUGUGUUAAUUACCAUUAUAUUGAGCAUAUUAGGUAUGUGUUUAUCUCAUGCAUCUGUGGGCUUUUUACUGGGUCUACUUGGAAGCUGUGGGAGGUCACCACAGAACAUCAUUAAACAACUGGGAGGAAAGACUCAGUAGGAAAAUUCAAAUAGCAAGAGAAAGGUCAUGAAUCACAUAAGUAAAAUUCAAAGUGAAACAUGCUUUGAAUUCACCAGAAGUUUCUUGAAACAUUCUUGGUUUUAUGUAUGGAAUAUCUUUGGGAUGAAUCAGUCAUCAUUUCUUCUUCAGAAGCGUAGAAGGUUGUAUAAGGCAUAGAGUCUUCUUAGAAAUAGUCAAAGAGUUGUGGCUUAAUUUUCUUGAUCUGAAAAUGCAAGCACAUCAGCAAGGAUGUAAAAAAAAAUACUGAGAAACUAAUCACUUGCUUUUGGGUGAGGCAGCUAUAAUUUUCAUUGAAUUUGGGAAAACACUAGCUUUUUAUUACCUUAAAUACAAAUAUUCUUUAACUUCCAGCAAUCUUAGUAUUCAGCUACCAGGUGUUUUGUGCUAUUAUGUCAGAGAUACUGAAGAGAGAUGUGCCUUCUCUUCUGACUCUGGUUUAUAAAUGGCUGAGACACACUUUAAUCAGUCGCUAAAACUAUAGUUUAUGAAUUACCUAUAGCAGAAUAAUCACCCGGAGUACUUGUUAAAAAUGCAGAUUCCUACUUAUCACUCCAGAUUUCCUGAACAAAAGCAUCAAUGUGGGAUGCAAUGCAUGAAAAUAUGAAAUUUUUAAUAAGCAAAAUUGUUAAUUUUGAAAGUAAUGUACAGAGAACAAGUGUUUAGACCUGUGCCUAAAGUUUAAGCCAGUUUAGUUGCACCAAAUAUGCUUGGCAAAUCAUUGGAAUACAGGCUAAUGUAUUAAGCUUGAACUAAGACACUUGGUGUCAUAACUCAUUGGAGUCUAAAGAAAAUCACUCUGAGUUUUUUUUCUUUCUCCUAGUGUAUCCCCUUUAAUUCUAGUUUUUCUAGGUUUAAAAGCAAGAGAAGUGAAGAGGAUUAAACAAAAAUCUAUUGAAAAUCAAGAAGGUUAAAUAAAUUGAGGUUUUUUAAAUUUUUCUUUCUCUACCCAAGGUAAGUCAUAGAGUGUCUAAAAUCUAAGUUUGUUUUGUCUUGAUGUAAAAUAGGUCUCUUGCAUAGCAGAUUUGUUUUAAUAUAAAAAAUAGACACUUGAAACCUCAAACAAGCAGACAGGAGUGUGUACAGCACAAAAUCUGCAAGAAAAUGACUAUUUUAAAAAUUUAAGCAUCUCACAUGCAGGCAUCCAUCAAUAAGACUGUAGUGAUAUCACUGCUCACUGCAAUGUUGCGGCAAACACUGCCACAGGUCUUAAAGCUCUGUAUGACUUUGGGAAGAAUAAAAUAGGAUUUUACAACAUUGGAUCUCAAUGCAUUUUGAUUCUAGUGACACAUUUCUGAGCAUGACUGUUUAAGAAACAAAUAAGCAAGUAGAAGGUGACUUUCUGACAGCAUGUAUAAAGAAAACUGAAGUGGGGAAAGUGACAAAUUUUUCGAUAAUUCAGGCAAGUGAGGGAAAUACAUAGUUUUGAUUCUGAAUUAUUUUUCAGGCUUUCUAUGUUAAUCCAUCCAUUGUAGUUGUUACUCAGUUUUACUUUUCCUAUGUAGCUGUAGGCUGUAAUGAAUUCCUUUUAGUGUGAUCCUAGUGGAGUCACCGUCAGUGGUCUGAAUGGGCUUCCCUUGUCUUCUUAUUUGUAUGCAGUGAUAAUUAUGGUUGUAGUAAAUAGUUAUUGAAAUUUAUGUGCCAAUCAUAGCUCUAAUUACGUUACUGCUGGUUCAUCCUUUAUAACGGCUCUAUGAGGUAGUUAUUAACAUUUCCAUUUUAUAGAUGAAGAAAGCAAGACUCAGACAACUCAAAAAAUUUGCACAGGUACAUAGUAGCAGAUUUAGAGCUUAAAAUUGCUUGACUAAUUCCAAAGCCCUGCUUUUUAUCUGCUACAGUAUGCUGAGAGCUGUGAAAAUGAGGUUUGAUUCAAAGGCAACCUUCAUGUUGUUUUCAGUCCUCAGUCUAUAGCUUAACUGAUAGCAAGUAGAAUAUCAGAAAAAACGAUGAGGAUGAAACACAGCCACACUGAGUAUGGGAUCUGGCUUUCUGAAAAGCCUCAGAGGAGUCAGGUAUUACAAUUUGAAGGGAUGUAAGGGAUGAAGAUUGCUCAAUGAAAGGUGAAAGAGACCUGGGAAGAUUAGACGUGGGCAGAUUAAUUUCCCUACCUUCCUCUCUCAGCUUGCCCCAAGAUGCAGCUUGUUGUAAAGUGAAGACACAUGAUUUCACAUCACUUUUUCCUUACAUCACUUCUCUCACUUUUUUAUUUCACCCUCACGUUUUGGGCUUACAUCUUCCAAAUAAAAGGUAUGCUACCAUAAUGGGGUAGUUAAUGGAGUGCCUUAGGUAAUACUUCUUGAAGUUCUGAGGCUGAAACAGUAAUCAAUAUAUGCAUAGGCCUGGCAUGUGCCAGAUCCAUUGUGUCAGACACAUUAAUUCAUUUACUCCUGGCAAAAACUUAAUGAAAUCAUAUUAUUAUUUUCAUUCCCAUUUUACAGAUAAGGAAAUUAAAGUAGAGGGAUGUUAAAUCCUUCUUUGGAAUACAUCAUAAAAACAAGAUUUUGCACAUGGACACAAAAAUGAAUGCAAGAAUGAAUGAAUGAAUGCAAGCUUGCUCAAUGGAAUAAAAUGAUAGGGAAAAUUUCAAUGUCUAACAUUCACUGGGUGCUACCACUUAACAUUAUUCCAUUUUCUGAAGAAAAAUUGAUCCAGCAUCUAGCAAAAUACAUUGCACAGAUUAGAUACCCAACAUUUACUUGUUAAAAUAAUGCAUACAGUAUUUUCUAAGCUCCAUUUUUUGGGGAAAGACAACAGGUACAAAAUAUUUUCUUAAAUAUUGAUGGAUGCACAGACAUACAAGGGGUUUUAUAACAUUGCUCAUGGAGCUCAGAUUACAAGGGAAUAAACUAACUUGAGAGAUACUUUGCUACACCUUUGCUUUGUUUACCUGAAAUAGAGUUUAGUUGCUGAAAUUCAAAGUUCCUUGGGUUUAUAACACCAACAAUAAAUAAAAACAAAUAAAAGAUACUGCCACGAAAAUCAAUGUGGUAUCCAGAAAAUUAAAUAGCCAAGAAAUGAGGCAUUUUUUGUGUGUGCUCUAUAAAUUUUCCUUGGCGUCAUUUGUAGUGGGUCCUUUGUUAAUGGUCUUUGUUUCCUAGUUGAUGUGACUGCUAGUGGUGUAUUGGUCCAUAUUCAAGUACUGAUGAGAGCCUCAAGACAUUUGAGAAAGCUUAAAGAUUCAGCAAGGAUUGGAAACAAAUGACUGGAGAAUAAAUACGAUACAAGGGUGCCAAACCUUAACCUAAAGCUUCAGUUUUUUGAUAGGGUUGAUGAUUCCUGUUUCCUUAGAUGUUUCUGCAUUUUUUUCUUUUUGUUUUUCUAAAUUACUGCAUCUGGUUAUAAAUAAGUUCAUUUUGCAUAAAAAAAUGGAAUACCAGAACUUGGAGUAAAAUUUCAAUUAAGCACAGUUUAUUUUUACCAUAUUAUAGCUGAUUUCCUGAAAAGUCUUUACAGACUUAGAGCCAAGUUUUUAAAGCCUGCCAUUUUCCAUUGCACUGUAAUCAGACAUCUACCUGAUAAAUUAUUUCUAUACCUCUGUAUAAGGAGAGCUGUGGAUGUGAUCAUUUCACCUUUGAGGAAAUCUUGUAGAUAUUGUCAGGUGCUAAACUUACAACCAGUAAAGCUAGAAUAUCCAUGUUGGUUUUUAAGAUUGAGUCAAAUCUUAAGUCUCCAAAAUUAUCUCCUUUGAAUCCAUGUUUCACAUCCAGGUCAUGCUGAUGCAAGAGGUGGGUUUCCAUGGUCUUAGACAAUUUGAUCCCUGUGGCCCCUAUCCUGGCCUCUUUCAUGGACUGGUGUUUAGUGUCUGCAGCUUUUCUAGGUGCAUGGUUAAAGCUGUCAGUAGAUCUGCAAUUCUGGGGUCUGGAAGACAGUGGUACUCUUCUUAUAGCUCCACUAGGUGAUGCCCCAGUGGGGACUCUGUGUGGGGUUUGCACCUGUAUUUCCCUUCCAUACUGUCCUAGCAGAGGCUCUCCAGGAGAGCUCCAACCUUGCAGCACACCUCUGCCUAGACAUAAGGAAUUUCCAUACAUUCUUUGGAAUCUAGGCAGAGAUUACCAGACUUCAAUUCUUGACUUUUGAGUACCUGCAGGCCCAACACCAUGUGUACCACCAAGCCUUGGAGUUUGCAUCCUAUGAAGCAAUGGCCUUAACUCUACAUUGACCACUUUUAACCCAUGGCUGGGAUGUAGGACACCAAGUCCUAAGACCACACAAAGCAGUACAGCCCUGGGCCUGGCCUAUGAAACCAUUUUUCCCUCCUAGGCCUCCUGGCUUGUGAUAAGUGGGGCUGCUCUGAAGACCUCUGACAUUCCCUGGAGACAUUUCCCUAUUGUAUUGGUGAUUAACAUUAGCCUCGGCAGUAUUUAUGAAAAUUUCUGUAGCAGGCUUCAGUUUCUUCUCAGAAAAUGAGUUUUUCUUUUCUAUCACACCAUCAGGCUGCAAAUUUUCUGAACUUUUAUGCUCUGCUUCCCUUUUAUAUGUAAGUUCUAAUUCCAAACUGUAUCUUUGUGAAUUCAUAAAGCUGAAUCCUUUUAACAGCACCCAAGUCACCUCUUGAACACUUUGCUGCUUAGAAAUUUCUUCUACCAGAUACCUUAAAUCACCUCUCAAGUUCAAAGUUCCUUUGGGUAGGAAAAAAUGCCACCAGUCUCCUUGUUAAAACAUAGAAAGAGUCACCUUUAUUUCAGUUCUCAACAAGUUCCUCAUCUCCAUCUGGGACUACCUCAACCUGGACUUCAUUGUCCAUAUCACUAUCAGCCUUCUGGUCAAAGCCAUUCAACAAGUCUCUGGGAAGUUUCAGACUUUCCCACAUCUUCCUGUCCUCUUCUGCGCCCUCUAAACAGUUUCAACCUCUGCCUGUUACCCAGUUCCAAAGUUGCUUCCACAUUUUUAAGUAUCUUUACAGCAGCCCACUCCUGGUACCAACUUACUGUAUUAAUCCAUUCUCAUGCUGUGAAAAAAGACAUACCAAAGACUGGGUAAUUUAUAAAGGCAGGAGGUUUAAUGGACUCGUAGUUCCGCAUGGCUGGGGAGGCUUCACAAUCAUGAUGAAAAGGGACUUUUUACAUGGUGGCAGCCAAGAGGGUUUGUGCAGGGUAACACUCAUUUAUAAAGCCAUUAGAUCUCAUGAGACUUAUUCACUAUCACAAGAACAGCAUGGGAAAAUCCCACCCAAGACCUCCCACUGUGUCCCUCCCAAAACGUGGGAGUUACGGGAGCUACAUUCAAGAUGAGAUUUGUAUGGUGACAUGGCCAUACAUUAUCACCCAUUAUGAUGGUGAUUUAUCUAAUUUAUUUUUAACUUUUUAUUUUAAAAUAAUAUAGUGACAGGAGUGGCAGAAACAGUACAAAGAGAUUCUGCUUAUGCUUCACCCAGCUUUUCCCAAUGGUUAUAUUUUUACAUAACUACAGUAUAUAAUCUCAACCAGGAAAUUGACAUUGGUACAAUGUGCGUGUAUGGACCUGUGUCAUUUAAUUGCAUGUGUAGAUUCCUGCAACACUGAUUCCAUUCCAAUCAAGACACAGAUCUAUUUAAGGGAACAGAAGAUUAAGGUCUUCCAUUCUCUUUUAUAAUCAUACUCAAAUCCUCCCUAUUGCCAUUCCUAACCCCUGGCAACCACCAGGCUCUUUUCCAUCACUAUAAUUUUGUCAUUUUGAGAAUGUUGUAUAACCUGAACCUCAAAGUAUGCAACAUUUUGAGACUGGUUUAUUAAUUUCAGCAUAAUACUUUUGAGACACAUCCAAAUUUGUUGUAUUACUAGUUUACUGCUUUUUAUUGCUGAUGGUGGUGAAUGGUAUGGAUGUACCACAUUCUGUUUAACCAUUUGGCUUUUGAGUGACAUGCUAUCAGCUUUUGGCUAUCAAAAACAAAGCUGUUACUAAUAUUCAUGUACAUUUUUGUAUGGGCAUACAUUUUAUUUUUUCUGGAUACAUGUCUAGAAGUACAAUUACUGGGUCCUCUGGUAAGUAUAUGCUUAGUUUUUUAAGAAACUGUCAAACUAUUUUCCAGAGUGGCUGUACCAUUUUACAUUCUGCCAGCAAUGUAUAACAGAUCCACUUUCUCUGCAUCCUUGACAACAUUUUAUAUUGUCAAUAUUUUUCUAUUUUAGCUGUUCUAAUAUAAAUUUUAAUAGAAUGGAUCAUCAUUUCUUAUUGUAGUCUUUAUGUACAUUUCCCUAAUGAACAGUGAUGUUGAACAUCAUUUCGUGUGCUUAUCUGCAUAUCCUCUUUGCUGAAAUGUCUCUUCAUGUCCUUUACCCGUGUUCUAAUGGAUUUCUUGAUUUUCACUGUUGAGUUUUAGGACUGUUUUAUCUUGCCUAACCUGCAUCUGGAGUCACCUCAAAAGUGUCAGCAGGAGAGUUUCCACAAAGGAGUGCCCAAGCCAUCCAGAGAUGAAGCUGGUUGAGAUUCCAAAAAAAGCACUGAAUGUUGGGGUGAUCAGUCCAAAGCAUUUACUAAGGGAACUUACAGCAUGCUGCAGAAAUCCUUGCCACCAACAGCAAGAGGAAAUGGGUAUUCUACCUAGGAUGUCCACAGUGAAGGGUUCAGGGAGAUACCAUUGCCUUUCAUCAAGAAAACAUGCGGGCAUCUAAAUGUGACAAAUACUCCCCUAAAGUAUUAGAACUUCAGCAAUGUGAAGAAGUAGAAGCUCUGUGAACCCUACUCACCAAAUCCCAGCAGCCAGAUGGGUGGUUGCUGUGUGGUAGUAGCUUAGCUCAUCAGAAAGUUACAACCUCCAACCACAGUUGAAAUGACUCACAUCCAUUGGAACAAAGAAAAUGUCAAGAAUUGCUUCCAGAUCUGAGAUGGCUGAAUAGGAACAGCUCUGGAGUGCAGUUCCCAGCGAGAAUAAUGCAGAGGCUGAGUGAUCGAUCACUGCAUUUCCAAAUGAGUCAUUACUGCCCACAGACCAGGAGAUUUCUGGGCUGAAAAGCACCACACGUUUCCAGCAGGGCUGUUUCAGCUGGUGCAGUGGGUCUCCACACAAAAACUCACACAUAUCUGGGCAACCGUUUUAACUGGCACCUGGAACACCUGGGAGACAGAGCCACCCAUUCAACUGAAAAAAGGGCUGAAACAGGGAGCCAGGUGAUCUAGCUCGGCGGGUCCUACCCCCACAAAGGCCAGCAAUCUGAAACGCUCUGGAUUGAGUUUCACAGCAAGCACAGCUAGACCCAGGAUGGUCCAGCUCUGUGGGGGUAAGGGUGUCCACCAUUACCGAGGCAGUCCACCACUACCGAGGAAGUCCACCAUUACCAAGUCCGCCAUUAUAGGGGCAGUCUGCCAUUACUUUUACACUGUUGGUAGGGUGUAAAUUAGUUCAACCAUUGUGGAAGACAGUGUGGCUAUUCCUCAACCACCUAGAAAUAGAAGUUCCAUUUGACCCAGCAAUCUCAUUACUGGGUAUAUAUCCAAAGGAUGAUAAAUUGUUCUAUUAUAAAGACACAUGCACACCUGUGUUUAUUGCAGCACUGUUUACAAUAGCAAAGACCAGGAACCAACCCAAAUGCCCAUUGAUGAUAGACUGGACAAGGAAAAUGUGGCACAUAUACACCAUGGAAUACUAUGCAGCCAUAAAAAAUGAUGAGUUGUGUCCUUUGUAGGGACAUGGAUGAAUCUGGAAACCAUAAUUCUCAGCAAACUGGCACAAAAACAGAAAAUCAAACACCGCAUCUUUUCACUCAUAGGCGGAUGUUGAACAAUGAGAACACAUGGACACAGGGAGGGGAGCAUCACACACUGGGAUUUGUUGAGGGGGAAUAAGGGGAGGGACAGCAGGGGUACGGAUGUUGGGAAGGGAUAACAUGGGGAGAAAUGCCAGAUAUAGGUGACGGGAGAUGGAAGCAGCAAACCACAUUUCUGUGUAUGUACCUAUGCAACAAUCCUGCAUGUUCUGCACAUGUACCCCAGAACCUAAAGUGUAACAAAAAAUAUAUAUAUAUAUUUAAAAUAAAAUGUCAAGAAUUUGUUAGAAUU